rnacentral:misc_RNA from 1 species
AAGAAAAUAAAAAGGAAAAAAAUAUAAAGAAUUUUUGUUUGGUUUCUCUAUGACUAGUAAUAUUCUACUGAAUUAUUACUAGUAUUUUCUGUGAUAAAACUUGGUCGAGGUACUACUUGAGGAACAUAAGGUGGUGUUCUACAUCUUAAUAAUGCCCAAUUAAUUCCACUAAAAAAUUGAUGAUGUUUAAUUGCAGUUGCUCCCAUUGUAGAACCCAAUCUUCUUGUAGAGUCCUUCACUAGAAGUUGAGUGAUCAAAUCCUUGGCCGACGCCGGCAAGAUUGGUUCCUUAGGAAAUUCUAGAGCUCGAGCUACAAUAUUAGCUAGGGUUAGCUCAUGAUCAAUCCCUUUAAAAGGAGUCACACCAUAGAAAAAUUCAUAUAUGAAUAUGCCUAAUGUCCACCAAUCUACCGCAUUGCCAUGCCCCUCGCCGGAGACAAUCUCUGGCGCCAAGUACUCAUGGGUCCCGACG